rnacentral:lncRNA from 1 species
UAUAUCUCCCAAUUGAUACGAUAUUCCCGUGCUUGCAUUUCUUAUCAUGAUUUUCUUGAUAGAGGGUUGCUGCUCACAAGGAAGCUAUUAAACCAAGAGUUCCAAAUGGGGAAGUUGAAAUCACCCCUUCGUAAAUUUUACGGACGCCAUCACGAGUUGGUUGACCGUUAUGGAAUAACCGUUUCACAAAUGAUAUCGGAUAUGUUCCUUACGUCGUAACUACAAUCCCC